rnacentral:rRNA from 1 species
UCGCUAGUAAUCGUAGAUCAGCAUGCUACGGUGAAUACGUUCCCGGGUCUUGUACACACCGCCCGUCACACCACGAGAGUUUGUAACACCCGAAGCCGGUGGAGUAACCUUUUAGGAGCUAGCCGUCGAAGGUGGGACAAAUGAUUGGGGUGAAGUCGUAACAAGGUAGCCGUAUCGGAAGGUGCGGCUGGAUCACCUCCUUU